ACCAAAAGAACUGUCUGACCAGUUGGAAGUUGCCAUCACCAAGGGCAGCACUGUUCUCAUUGAGAACCUCCCAGAGAGCCUUGACCCAGUUCUUGACCUCUAAUAGGCAAAAACCUCAUCAAGCGUGGACGAGCGCUGAAGAUCGGUGAUCGCGAGAUCGAGUACAACCCGACCUUCCAACUGAUCCUCCACACCAAGUUGGCUAAUCCUCACUACAAGCCUGAGCUACAGGCUCAGUGUACCCUCAUCAACUUCACCGUCACCAGGGAUGGACUCGAGGACCAGCUCUGGCCGAGGUGGUCAAGGCUGAGAGACCAGACCUUGAAGAGCUGAAGUACAAUUUGACAAAGCAACAGAACGACUUCAAGAUCCAGUUAAAGCACCUUGAAGACGACCUCCUGAGUCGGUUGUCUUCGGCAGAUGGGAACUUCCUGGGAGACACAGCUUUGGUGGAGAACCCUGGAACACAAAGCCACUGCCCA